rnacentral:lncRNA from 1 species
AUGGAGGGUAAGAUUCAAAAUGGAGCCUCUCUGGCUAACACCCUCUCCACAGACACCCAUCUGCAUGAUCAGAUCGUGUUCUAUGUGAGCUCGGAGGUCCUUGCUUUUUGCUUCCUUCCUUGCUUCUACCCUUGCCUAGAAUCUCCAACAAGCAGGUGGCCAUCAAACGCAGGCUCCGGUUUUAUGUCCUACACCUCCUCGUGCCCAGUGGCCUCCUGGUAG